rnacentral:rRNA from 1 species
AGCGAACGCUGGCGGCAGGCCUAACACAUGCAAGUCGAACGCAUCCUUCGGGAUGAGUGGCAGACGGGUGAGUAACACGUGGGAACGUACCUUUCGGUUCGGGAUAACUCAGGGAAACUUGAGCUAAUACCGAAUACGCCUUACGGGAAGAUUAUCGCCGAAGAUCGGCCCGCGUCUGAUUAGCUAGUUGGUGAGGUAACGGCUCACCAAGGCGACGAUCAGUAGCUGGUCNGAGAGGAUGAUCAGCCACAUUGGGACUGAGACACGGCCCAAACUCCUACGGGAGGCAGCAGUGGGGAAUAUUGGACAAUGGGCGAAAGCCUGAUCCAGCCAUGCCGCGUGAGUGAUGAAGGCCC